CCUACGGGAGGCAGCAGUAGGGAAUAUUGCACAAUGGGGGAAACCCUGAUGCAGCGACGCCGCGUGAGGGAAGAAGGAAUUCGGAUUGUAAAGUCCUAUUAGCAGGGAAGAAAAUGACGGUAUCUGACGAAUAAGCACCGGCUAACUACGUGCCAGCAGCCGCGGUAAUACGGAGGGUGCAAGCGUUACCCGGAAUCACUGGGCGUAAAGGGAGCGUAGGCGGGAGUGCAAGUCUGAUGUGAAAGGCGAUGGCUUAACCAUCGGACUGCAUUUGAAACUGUUCUUCUGGAGUACGGGAGAGGUAAGUGGAAUUCUUGGUGUAGGGGUGAAAUGCGUAGAGAUUAAGAGGAAUACUCGUUGCGAAGGCGACCUACUGGACUAUAACUGACGCUGAGGCGCGAAAGCGUGGGGAGCAAACAGGAUUAGAUACCCCAGUAGUC
rnacentral:rRNA from 1 species